GUAAUAUGGUUCAGAUGAGACCACAAGGUGGUGUAAUAUGGUUCAGAUGAAACCACAAGGUGGUGUAAUAUGGUUCAGAUGAAACCACAGCACAUUGACAAGGUGGUGUAAUAUGGUUCAGAUGAAACCACAAGGUGGUGUAAUAUGGUUCAGAUGAAACCACAGCACAUUGACAAGGUGGUGUAAUAUGGUUCAGAUGAAACCACAGCACAUUGACAAGGUGGUGUAAUAUGGUUCAGAUGAAACCACAACACAUUGGCAAGGUGGUGUAAUAUGGUUCAGAUGAAACCACAAGGUGGUGUAAUAUGGUUCAGAUGAAACCACAGCACAUUGACAAGGUGGUGUAAUAUGGUUCAGAUGAAACCACAACACAUUGGCAAGGUGGUGUAAUAUGGUUCAGAUGAAACCACAAGGUGGUGUAAUAUGGUUCAGAUGAAACCACAGCACAUUGACAAGGUGGUGUAAUAUGGUUCAGAUGAAACCACAACACAUUGGCAAGGUGGUGUAAUAUGGUUCAGAUGAAACCACAAGGUGGUGUAAUAUGGUUCAGAUGAAACCACAGCACAUUGACAAGGUGGUGUAAUAUGGUUCAGAUGAAACCACAAGGAGGAGGAUAUAGAGGGAGGGAAUCUAGACGUCUAUAACAUGGAAGGGAGACAGAUCCCUCCACUAGCUCGGCUAGAGGGGAACUGAAACACUACGGAGGGAAUCUAGACGUCUAUAACAUGGAAGGGAGACAGAUCCCUCCACUAGCUCGGCUAGAGGGGAACUGAAACACUACAGAGGGAAUCUAGACGUCUAUAACAUGGAAGGGAGACAGAUCCCUCCACUAGCUCGGCU